AUACGUAGGGGACAAGCGUUGUCCGGAAUCACUGGGCGUAAAGGGCGCGUAGGCGGUUUUAUAAGUCAGAUGUGAAAGGUACCGGCUCAACCGGUGACGUGCAUUUGAAACUGUAAGACUUGAGUACUGGAGAGGCAAGUGGAAUUCCUAGUGUAGCGGUGAAAUGCGUAGAUAUUAGGAGGAACACCGGUGGCGAAGGCGGCUUGCUGGGCAGAUACUGACGCUGAGGUGCGAAAGCGUGGGGAGCGAACAGGAUUAGAUACCCUGGUAGUCCACGCCGUAAACGAUGAUGACUAGGUGUUGGGGAAACUCAGUGCCGCAGUUAACACAUUAAGUCAUCCGCCUGGGGAGUACGACCGCAAGGUUGAAACUCAAAUGAAUUGACGGGU
rnacentral:rRNA from 1 species